rnacentral:misc_RNA from 1 species
GUUGAGGCGGAUGCUGAAUGAUUACUUGAUGGAUAAGAGGUAUCUCAUUGUUAUUGAUGGGUUAUCCUCUAAGGUCUUAUGGAAUCAACUUGGAGCUGCAUUUGAUGGCCUAUCAAAUGGGACUAGAAUAAUUUUCAUUUCUUCCAAAUUAGGGGUAACUCCAGAAAGCAGUGAGAGAAACUUCACUUACAGGUUGCAAUUGUGGAGUGAUGAUGACAGCUGGGCAUUGUUUGUUCGUUCUCUGAAUGUGAACAUCCCCUUAGAGCUGCUAGAACUGAAAAAGAAGGCAAUUUUGAGAAUUUGUGGGGGGUUACCAAAGGCAAUUGUGAAACUUGCAGAACUUCUGGCAAGGGAAAAUACAUUUGCAGAGGACUGGUCAAGGGUGAUUGAGAAAUUCAAUAGAGAUGAAGGACCUUGGUCAGGAACCUUGCAGGAGAUCAACAAAAAUUUGCCAUUAUAUUUGAGGAGAUGUCUCUUUUAUUUUCGAUUAUUCCCUGAGCACUACGAGAUUCCCGUGAGAAGAUUGAUUGGAUUAUGGGUUGCAGAGGGUUUUGGGCACCAAAGCAAUGAUAAAGAGUCUCCAGAACGUGUCUCAGAGAAAUGUUUGAUAGAGUUAGCUAACUGGAGCACAAUUCAAGUUACAAAGAAAAAACUAAAUGGAAAAUUUAGGACAUGUCGCUUGCCUGAUGCUCUGCGAGUGCACUGGCUAUUAAAAACCAAGGAGGCUAAAUUUCUGCAAGAUAAUGGCCAUAUUGGUGGCAAUUUGUCCACCAGCAGUGGUACAAUAUAUCGACUUGUUGACCAUCUUGACCGGAGGCAUGCCAGCUUUGAUCAUAUCCACGGAGACAAUGCUACUCCCUCAUCUCUGUACUCCUGUUAUAAAGACACUGUAUCAUUUCUAUCCUUUGAUGGUCAAGAAGGAAGCAGACCUGGAGAAGAUGUAGGGAAUUUUCUUCAACGAUGCAUCUUAAGCAAGUGUUUCAGUUCUCUAUGGGUGCUAGAUCUUGAACAUGUGUACAAGCCAAAAUUGCCCAAAGCAGUAGGCCAGUUAGCUCGAUUGAAGUACCUUGGCUUGAGGUCAACAUACCUGGAAAUGCUUCCUGUGUUUAUUAACAAAUUGCCAAAGCUUCAAACGCUGGAUUUGAAGCAUACUCACAUCAAUGCUCUCCCCAGUUCCAUAUGGAUGAUGCAGGAAUUGCGACACUUAUUCCUUGAUGAGAGUUCCUGCUGCACAUUUGUGUCUCAACCAAAAGGCAGCUGCUUAGUGGAUCUCCAAACACUUUGGGGUGCUUUUGUAAAUGAGGAUAGCCCAGUGAAAGAUGGCCUGGACACAUUUCUGAACGUCACAAAAUUGGGUUUGACAUGCAAGAUAUCAGAGCCAUCUCAGAAUGAGGCAAUGUCCUCUCAACUUGAUGCUGUAGCAAAUUGGGUUCUAAAGCUAAAUCAUCUGCAAUCUUUGAAGUUGAAAUCAUUUAAUGAAUCAGGUCAGCCAUCGGAUCUACACUUAGAGUCAUUAGCAGAUCACAUGGAUCUGUCCAGUAUACAUUUGGUUGGAAAUCUGAGGACUCAGAGUCUUGUGUCAGAGUUCCCACAAAACCUCAUUGAGCUCACUUUGUCAGCAUCUGGACUAGUGGAAGAUCCAAUGCAAUCAUUGGGCAGGCUUCCCAACCUCAGAAACGUGAGGUUAUUCUCUGGGGCCUACGCCGGAAAGAAAAUGGUUUGCACUUUUGGAGGAUUUCCUAAGCUUCAAGUCCUCAAAGUCUGGGAGCUAGAGCAACUAGAGGAAUGGAAUGUAGAGGAAGGGGCACUGCCUAGUCUGAAAUGCCUGGAAAUCAGAUCCUGUAGAAAUUUGGAGAUGGUUCCUAAUGGAUUGCAGUAUGUCAAGACUCUAUGCAAAUUAAAAUUAGCAAAUAUGCCGGUGUUGUCAGCAAGGAUUAAG